UACGUAGGGUGCAAGCGUUGUCCGGAAUUAUUGGGCGUAAAGAGCUCGUAGGCGGUCUGUCGCGUCUGCUGUGAAAACUCAGGGCUUAACCCUGAGCUUGCAGUGGGUACGGGCAGACUAGAGUGGCGGUAGGGGAGACUGGAAUUCCGUGGUGAUAGCGGUGAAAUGCGCAGACUAGUCAGGGAGGGAACACCGGUGGGCGAAGGCGGGUCUCUGGGCCGUAACUGACGCU
rnacentral:rRNA from 1 species